AUUGAACGCUGGCGGCAGGCCUACACAUUGAAGUCGAGAGGAGCGGCGGACGGGUGAGUAAUGCCUAGGAUUCUGGCUGGUUGUGGGGGAUAAUGUCCGGAAACGGGCGCUAAUAUCGCAUACUAUCAGCUAAGCCUAGGUCGGAUUAGCUAGUUGGUGGGGUAAAGGCCUACCAAGGCGACGAUCCGUAACUGGUCUGAGAGGAUAAUCAGUCACACUGGAACUGAGACACGGUCCAGACUCCUACGGAAGGAAGCAGUGGGGAAUAUUGGACAAGGGGCGAAAGCCUAAUCCAGCCAUGCCGCGUGUGUGAAAAAGGUCUUCGGAUUGUAAAGCACUUUAAGUUGGGAGGCGUUACCAACAGAAUAAGCACCGGCUAACUUCGUGCCAGCAGCCGCGGUAAUAC
rnacentral:rRNA from 1 species